AGAGUUUGAUCUUGGCUCUGAAUGAACCCUAGCGAUCUGCAUAACACAUGCGAGUUUAAUGGAUAUCAAAGCUUAUUUGUUAAAAAUAAGUAACAUUUGAAAUUCAUAGCGUACGAGUGAGUAAUAGUUUAGAAGCUGUCAAAUAAUUCAGUUUAAUACUGAAUAAUUAUUGUAAAAUAAGAAAGAUUUUAUCGUUAUUUGAGGCGCUAAUCCAGGAUUAGAUAGUUGGUGGGAUAAUAGCUUACCAAGUCAAAGAUCCUUAGCCAGCCUGAGAGGGUGUAUGGCCACGCCGGGACUGAAACAAGGCCCGGGCUCCUUUGAGAGCCAGCAGUGGGGAAUAUUGGACAAUGGGCGAAAGCCUGAUCCAGCAAGAUCGCGUGAGGGAAGAAGAUCAUAUGAUCGUAAACCUCUUUCAUUAGGAACGAAUAAAGACGGUACCUAAAUAAGAAGCUCCAGCCAAUCGCGUGCCAGCAGCUGCGGUAAUACGUGAGGAGCAAGGGUUAUUCACAAUGAUUGGGUGUAAAGAAGGAUAAGGUGACAAGUACAAGUUGAGUAUGGACUAAGAGCUUAACUCGAAGUAAAUAUUCAAUACUAACUUGAUAGAGGAUUUAUGAAGUUGAGCGGAACUGUUGGGGUAGAGGUGCAAUUCGUUUCAUCUCAGCGGGAACACCAAAGGCGAAAAGCAGCCAACUAAUAAAUUACUUCCACUCGACCUGUAACCUGAGGUAGCAAAGAGGAUUAGAUACCCUCGUAGUCUCAGGCGUAAACGAUGGACGCUUCCAGCAAUAUAUAUUAUUGUUAGGUCAGCUAACGCGUAAGCGUCCCACCUAGUAAGUACGCCCGCAAGGGUGAAAACUAAAUAGAAUAGGCGGCUUUAUAUACGACCAGAGGAGCAUGCAACUUAAUUCGAUAUUACGCGACAAACCUUACCUAGGCUUGAAUCUUUGUUGACGAAAUUAGACGUAAUGGUUUAAUUUUGGGUUUUAUCUUUGAUAUAAUCCUAUACACAUUGACACGUUUUGCAUGAUCGUAUUCAGCUCGAUGUCGUGAGAUGUUAGGUUAAGUCCUGUAACGAGCGCAACCCGUGUUUUUAGUUGGAAAAUAGAUUUUAAGAAUACUAUUUCAAAAUAAAAUGGCUUAAGCCAUUGAAUCCUCUCUAAAAAAACUGCCGUGGAUAAAGCGGAGGAAGUAACGGAUGACUACAGAUCACCAUGAACGUUAUGCCUAGGGCUGUAAGCGUGCUACAAUCGGGUUUACAAAGGGAAGCAAUGACUAAAAUCGGAGCUAAUCCUUAAAAAACCUCGUAAAUUAGGAUCGAAGGCUGCAACUCGCCUUCGUGAAUCUGGAUUUGGAAGUAAUCGUGGAGCAGAGUGCCACGGUGAAUCGGAAUCUGUAAAGCGUACUUCUCGCCCAAC
rnacentral:rRNA from 1 species